UUCUUUGCGCUUGGGGCAAUGACGCAGUUAGUGAGGUGAAACCGAGACGCGUCAAUUGCUGGUUGAAAACUAUUUCCAUUUCC
rnacentral:snRNA from 1 species